AGUUCACAAGCCCAUGCGCACAAUGUCACAAUCAUAUGAUGAUGUUUUUGUACUUUUAGUUGUGAGAAGUCAAAAUGUGUUUAGAGUGUCGAUAUAAACGUGCCCGUGAUCAGGGUUACAAGCCGUUCCUUCCGAGAGGUUUCGGGAAACGUGAAAAAAAUCCCGAUAUAAUAUUUACCAAUUUGGGAAUAAAUAUGGGACAAAAUUUCUUCACAAUGAAAGAGAAAAUCGGUGAAUUCGAGGGAGACAUCCGUAUUGCAAAGGACAUUGGAAUCAUAAUAAAUCCGUCAUUACAUGCUUCAUCUACUUUCUUUCGUACAUGUAUAAAGUUGGAUGAAAUCGAGGAGUGCCAACAACCCCAGUUUGAUAUAGUGACGAUUUCUGUACAAGCAUCACUCUCUGUCCAAAUUCGUUUUGGUUCAGCGAAGAGCAAAGCGAGGUUUCUUAAGGAGCUCCAGAAAGCGAGGGAAUAUUUUGAACAGAAAAAGGA